GGUGCGGAACACGUACGCAAUCUACCCAAAACUGGUGAAUAGCCCUCCGAAAGGAGGAUUAACACAUCGUAACUUAAUGAAGUGGCAUCAUUUUAUUAAUAUAGCUCCGGCGGUUUUGGAUGAGCGUGCGCCUGAUUAGGUAGUUGGCGGGGUAACGGCCCACCAAGCCUGCGAUCAGUAACUGGUGUGAGAGCACGACCAGUCACACGGGCACUGAGACACGGGCCCGACUCCUACGGGAGGCAGCAGUAAGGAAUAUUGGUCAAUGGACGCAAGUCUGAACCAGCCAUGCCGCGUGAAGGAUGAAGGUCCUCUGGAUUGUAAACUUCUUUUAUGUGGGACGAAACCUCUUAUUCUUAAGAGACUGACGGUACCAUAGGAAUAAGCACCGGCUAACUCCGUGCCAGCAGCCGCGGUAAUACGGAGGGUGCAAGCGUUAUCCGGAUUCACUGGGUUUAAAGGGAGCGUAGGAGGGCAGGUAAGUCAGUGGUGAAAUCUUCGAGCUUAACUCGGAAACUGCCGUUGAUACUAUCUGUCUUGAAUACCGUGGAGAUGAGCGGAAUAUGUCAUGUAGCGGUGAAAUGCUUAGAUAUGACAUAGAACACCAAUUGCGAAGGCAGCUCGUUACACGAAUAUUGACUCUGAGGCUCGAAAGCGUGGGGAUCAAACAGGAUUAGAUACCCUGGUAGUCCACGCCCUAAACGAUGGAUGCUCGACAUACGCGAUACACAGUGUGUGUCUGAGCGAAGCAUUAAGUAUCCCACCUGGGAAGU
rnacentral:rRNA from 1 species